CACAUGCAAGUCGAGGGGAAACGACAUCGAAAGCUUGCUUUUGAUGGGCGUCGACCGGCGCACGGGUGAGUAACGCGUAUCCAACCUGCCCACCACUUGGGGAUAACCUUGCGAAAGUAAGACUAAUACCCAAUGAUAUCUCUAGAAGACAUCUGAAAGAGAUUAAAGAUUUAUCGGUGAUGGAUGGGGAUGCGUCUGAUUAGCUUGUUGGCGGGGUAACGGCCCACCAAGGCGACGAUCAGUAGGGGUUCUGAGAGGAAGGUCCCCCACAUUGGAACUGAGACACGGUCCAAACUCCCACGGGAGGCAGCAGUGAGGAAUAUUGGUCAAUGGACGAGAGUCUGAACCAGCCAAGUAGCGUGCAGGAUGACGGCCCUAUGGGUUGUAAACUGCUUUUAUAAGGGAAUAAAGUGAGUCUCGUGAGACUUUUUGCAUGUACCUUAUGAAUAAGGACCGGCUAAUUCCGUGCCAGCAGCCGCGGUAAUACGGAAGGUCCGGGCGUUAUCCGGAUUUAUUGGGUUUAAAGGGAGCGUAGGCCGGAGAUUAAGCGUGUUGUGAAAUGUAGAUGCUCAACAUCUGCACUGCAGCGCGAACUGGUUUCCUUGAGUACGCACAAAGUGGGCGGAAUUCGUGGUGUAGCGGUGAAAUGCUUAGAUAUCACGAAGAACUCCGAUUGCGAAGGCAGCUCACUGGAGCGCAACUGACGCUGAAGCUCGAAAGUGCGGGUAUCGAACAGGAUUAGAUACCCUGGUAGUCCGCACGGUAAACGAUGGAUGCCCGCUGUUGGUCUGAAUAGGUCAGCGGCCAAGCGAAAGCAUUAAGCAUCCCACCUGGGGAGUACGCCGGCAACGGUGAAACUCAAAGGAAUUGACGGGGGCCCGCACAAGCGGAGGAACAUGUGGUUUAAUUCGAUGAUACGCGAGGAA
rnacentral:rRNA from 1 species